rnacentral:lncRNA from 1 species
GUUUGUGUGUCUUUUGUUAGGUAAAUUUUUUAACCUAUAGAAUAGAAUAAGAUUAAACUUGUAGCUCUGAAGUACAAUCAUAAAAGAACAAAACUGGCAUAGGAAGUCAAAGAAUUAAAGAUCUAGUGCCUAUUUAAUGUUGCAAGAUUUUGAUAAAUAGGAGAAUAUGGAAAUAAGAAGGGUCUAAAAAAUUAUCCACAGGCUGAAAUCUAGACCCUGAAAUGUUUUAUUUUAUUUAAAUUAAUUAUUAACUUGCUCAACUCCAGUUUCAAAGCUAUUAUAGAAAAAGAAGAAUGAAAGGGACAAUAGUACCCUUAUUGUCUGUGACCCAGUUGUUACCUAUUUUAUGUCAAUGCAAUGAUGUUGGUUUAAGAAAUCUGGCUUUCCUCAGCAGCUAGGAGAAAAAUAAAGGAGGGGGCGAAAAGAUUCUAGGGAAGAAAGACACAUAGCAGAUGCUACAGGGAAGAGAAAAAAAGUAAUAGUAAUUAGGCAUACCAGUAAGAGCCAAUAUGUAGCAAGAAUAGCAAAACUUUUCAAGGAAAAUACAAAAAGAAAUCUAGAAUUAAGAAGUUUCAAAAGUUCUUCAGUCUGUGCUGGAUGUUCAAAAUCCUUUUCAUCUUCAUUAUCCUUCAUUAUCUUCUAUCGAUCUACAGAUCACCCUUGCAGAUCAAAGUAUAAUUUGAUGUAGAGAUACAUAUGCCAUGUUCUUCUUUGAAACAUAUGAGUUUGUCUGGUGAACUGGGAGGGUGGGCCUCCUAGAAGAUAAUUUGCACUGGGAGACUGAGAAGCCUCCUGGAGACUCCAUUCAACAACAAAGACACAGUUGCUGGGGAGGAAGAAAAGAGGGUAGCAGCGUGUUUUUAGUAUCAUACCAUCACCCAGAUUUUUCCUAUUGGCCAAAGUCUCACACACUGACUCCUAAGAAAAGAUUCUGGAAAUUCCACCAUUAUUAGUAUGAAAGGUGAAAGUGAAAUGCCCAACUUUCAAUAACCAGUCCUGGGGGACUCCCGCGAGCAAAACGGUGGAGAGAAGAGAAGCAGCAGAGACGUGUCCCCUGUCCCCAGCACGGCACCGGACACUGUCUGGAAGGCUGGAGCGUCAGCAAGGCUGAUUCGAACCCAAGACCUCCGGUGCCAUCCUCGGCCGGGCCCUGGGAGGGGGCGCGCACCCGGCUGCGCAGAGCGCUCCCCGCGGGGCCUGCGGCGCCGGGCUCGGGCCUCGCGCCUCCCUCAGCUCCCUCCCCGCCCCCCUCCGCC